AAUAACGAAGUUCCUCAGGUUGCCUGAAGGAGCCAGGGUACCAAGCCUGUUUCUCCUCCCAAGACCACAGUGGAGCGCACCAAGGAUACUCCAAACGGCCCGGUAUGCAAAGGCUAGUGCGUACAGGAGCCACAGGUCAACUGCCUGCUCAUAAAGGGAACUCCUGAGGCCUCUCACUGACUCAGUCUUGAGGAGCUGAAUGGCUUGUAAACACUCCGUUCACAAGUAAGGACAAGAUGUUGAGACAAGCUGGAGAAACGGCGUGUUACUUCUGCAAAGCAUAGGAAGAGGAACAGAGAGCCAGACAGGGAAUCUCAGACUCUGCUGGGAGCCUUCAGCCAGCCAC